rnacentral:tRNA from 1 species
CAGGGAGACAACAAAAUGUUAAAUAUUAAUUUUGUCACUUAGGUCGAUCGGUAUCUCACAUUCUUAACUUAUUAAGAAUUUUAUUUCCUAAGUUUUUUCUAGGUCACACCCAUUACUUUUCCUGGGCCAUUAGCUCAGGUGGUUAGAGCGCACCCCUGAUAAGGGUGAGGUCCCUGGUUCAAGUCCAGGAUGGCCCAUAUCUCUAUGUUGGGGGUAUAGCUCAGUUGGUAGAGCGCCUGCUUUGCAAGCAGGAUGUCAGCGGUUCGAGUCCGCUUACCUCCACUGAUUCCCACCUCUUCCAUAACCGGUAGAAAGGAAAUGUUUUGAGUUGUGAUCAUUAUUCUGAACGAAUCUAGCUUCCUAAUAAAAUCAUUAAGAUGCUGGACUCAUUGAAUUAUUUUCAUUGUUUUCAGAGAACCUUGACAACUGCAUAGAUUAUUUUAAAGACAAUAAGCAUCUUUAAUGAUGCAGAUUUAUUAUUUGUGCGAAUGCAUUAAUAACAAUUCUAUUAAGCUGAUGCUUCAA